GACUUCCUGGGGCUGCUGGAGGUUUAAUUGGUUCAUGGUGGCUAAGCGGUUGGCGAUCCUGGCCUGGAAUUCCGGCGGACGCUGCUCCAUCCACAAGGGUCAGCUGGCCGAAGCCACAGGGCUGAAGCAGAUGGCUGAGCCUGCAGAUGGUGCAAGGCUUCUGAUGGAAGGACCUAGCAAUUGAGGGUCACAGAAAGAUCUUGGGUCAGGAGUCAGCCAGAAUACUGCAGAGUCCACUGUCCCAAAGGUUCUGAAGUCCUUCCCUCCUCCCCACCCCUCUGAGGUGGAGGAAUUUUUCCUUUGCAUCUUUGAUCCUGCCCUUGGCUUGGAAGGAAAGUAAUGGAAACCAAAAUGUUGGACCUUGGGCUCCAAAGUGAAGCCCUUCCUGUGAACACCACCAAAUUGACAGGGGCAGCUCCAGGGUGCCCUAAACACACUUUAAGUUUCUGCAGCUCAGCUGGGGAGGGCUUUGUUCCCUCCCCUUGUGUGUCUACCUAGAACCUCUCCUGGUUCCUUUCAGUUGCUCUUGUCUCACCAAAAAGUGCUUUGAUACAUGGACAGGACUGCUACAGAAACAGCCAGCUAUGCAGCAUGACCAAGACAGAAAGGAACAGACCAAAGAUUGGGUGCCACACAGGAAGCCCAAUAUGCACAGUCCCAGCUAGG
rnacentral:lncRNA from 10 species